UACGAAGGGGGCUAGCGUUGCUCGGAAUCACUGGGUUUAAAGGGUGCGUAGGUGGGUUGGUAAGUCAGUGGUGAAAUCUCCAGGCUUAACUUGGAAACUGCCAUUGAUACUAUCAAUCUUGAAUACCGUGGAGGUCAGCGGAAUAUGUCAUGUAGCGGUGAAAUGCUUAGAUAUGACAUAGAACACCAAUUGCGAAGGCAGCUGGCUACGCGGAUAUUGACACUGAUGCACGAAAGCGUGGGGAUCAAACAGG
rnacentral:rRNA from 1 species